rnacentral:rRNA from 1 species
UCUGUAGGGACUGCGGAGGAUCAUUACCGAAUAUUACGACGUUCACUCCACUUGAAGUCCGAUCUCUCGCUUUCUGCACCCUGUGCCUUUGUUUUGGCUAGCAGGAUAUCUCGGUAUCCGAACACCUCUUCAUUUACAAACACUAACUUCUAUGAAUGUUGAAAUUUUAUAACAAAAUAAAACUUUCAACAACGGAUCUCUUGGCUCUCGCAUCGAUGAAGAACGCAGCGAAAUGUGAUAAGUAAUGUGAAUUGCAGAAUUCAGUGAAUCAUCGAAUCUUUCAACGCAUCUUGCACUCUCUGGUAUUCCGGAGAGUAUGCCUGUUUGAGUGUCAUGAAUUCUUCAACCCUCCCUUUUCUUAGUGAAUUGAGAGGUGUUUGGAUUCUGAGUGUUGCUCCUAAUCCGAGCUCAUUCGGAAUGCAUUACCAUCCAUAUUCUAAUUUCAGAUUGACUUGGCGCAAAGAGUAUUCGCUGAGGAAGCCCCCCCACAGGAGCCGUGUUGAUCUAUUAAGCCCUACUCUAUCCUACUGUAGCUUAGUUUAACCUCAACUCUUUCUGAUUGCUUACGA